AUUUGUCACCCUAAACUCUCCUUCCCCCUAACUUAAAUAUCACCCUUUCCUUCACCCAAAAUCAAAACCCAAAACCCAGUUCCUCCCACCACCGUCGCCAACAUAGAUCACCGCCACCGCAUUGAUUUCUCUCUGCAUCUCCAUUGUCUGUUUUCUAACAUCUGCGUUCAUAGUGGUUUUUUUUUUUCCUAGGGUUUUGAUUUGGAAAACCGGUUUUGCUGUUGAUUCACCACCAAUCUCCUCUUUCACAGUACCUCAGUGCUGGUGAUUGUAAGGGAAAACUUCAUAUCUAUUACCUACAAACUUCUGAUUAUUCAUGCUUUCAGGGUGCUCAUGACUCAAGUAAAAAGGAGGCUAAUUCUGAAGAAGCCACAGAUAGACAGUCCUUCCUUGCAUCAGGGGGCCGCUAUUGAAUGAUCCAUCUUCAUGAUGUCAGUAGGGAAAAUGUCAUAUCUCAAUUGGGAGAGGUUGAAGAAGAAUAGGGUCAAAGCCGAAGUUCGACAUGGAGAGAUUAUCUCUUUUGAGCUUGGAGGAGUACUUAAAUUUGAUUCUAGAUGAUGCUAGAAAAGUCAACAUCAAGAGGAAGAGAAAAAAACUUUACAUGGGUUCAUUUUCUCAUUUUCCUUUACUUUUAAUCUCUUAAAUGUGCAUAC